rnacentral:piRNA from 1 species
UCAUGUGAUUUAGUCUGACUUAGCCUA